rnacentral:rRNA from 1 species
AGCAGUCGCCGCGGGAAUACAGAGGAUGCAAGCGUUAUCCGGAAUGAUUGGGCGUAAAGCGCGCGCAGGUGGUUUAAUAAGUCUGAUGUGAAAGCCCACGGCUCAACCGUGGAGGGUCAUUGGAAACUGGGAGACCUGAGUGCAGAAGAGGAGAGCGGAAUUCCAUGUGUAGCGGUGAAAUGCGUAGAUAUAUGGAGGAACACCGGUGGCGAAAGCGGCUCUCAGGCUUGUAACUGACGCUGAGGCUCGAAAGCGUGGGGAGCAAACAGGAUUAGAUACCCCGGUAGUCCCUGUCUCUUAUAA